CUGUAAUUCUCUUCUUUGGAGCAGUUUCUUUUUCCGCUCUUGCAGAGCCAGUUGAAGAUAAACAAGCUUUACUAGAUUUCCUUCACAAUAUUCAUUACUUGCAUUCUCUCAAUUGGAAGCAGAACUCUUCAGUAUGCAGGGAGUGGAGAGGAGUGACCUGUAACGGUGAUAAUUCUAGAGUUAUAGCCCUCAGGUUGCCUGGAGAGGGAAUUCAAGGCCCAAUCCCGCCAAACACUCUUAGUCGCCUGUCGGCAGUUCAGAUCCUGAGCCUCAGAUUGAAUGGUAUAUCGGGUUCUUUCCCUUCCGAUUUCUCCAAACUUGGAAACUUGACCGGCCUUUAUCUUCAAUUCAACAACUUCUCAGGCCCAUUGCCUUC
rnacentral:misc_RNA from 1 species